rnacentral:rRNA from 1 species
GAUGAACGCUGGCGGCGUGCCUAAUACAUGCAAGUCGAGCGAACGGACGAGAAGCUUGCUUCUCUGAUGUUAGCGGCGGACGGGUGAGUAACACGUGGCUAACCUACCUAUAAGACUGGGAUAACUUCGGGAAACCGGAGCUAAUACCGGAUGACAUUUUGAACCGCAUGGUUCAAAAGUGAAAGACGGUCUUGCUGUCACUUAUAGAUGGAUCCGCGCUGCAUUAGCUAGUUGGUAAGGUAACGGCUUACCAAGGCAACGAUGCAUAGCCGACCUGAGAGGGUGAUCGGCCACACUGGAACUGAGACACGGUCCAGACUCCUACGGGAGGCAGCAGUAGGGAAUAUUCGGCAAUGGGCGAAAGCCUGACCGAGCAACGCCGCGUGAGUGAUGAAGGUCUUCGGAUCGUAAAACCCUGUUGUUAGGAAAGAACACAUGUAGGAGAAACCGUGCACAUCAUGACGGUACCUAAUCAGAAAGCCACGGCUAACUUCGUG